rnacentral:lncRNA from 13 species
ACUGAGCACUUCCAGGGAUAUUCUGCCAAUGUGGGAUAGGAGGAAAGCAGAGCUUUUUGCAACUGGAUUUCUCCAUGUCCCUGGGACACAGAGGAUGUCUUCAUGCACUGAGCGUCUCACUGGAAAAAAAAUGAUAGUUCCAUAUUUGAAUAAAAAAUGGAACAUCCAUUGGACAAUACUGAAAAUGACUUGCAGAAAAAGAGAGUAAGUAAAACAAUAGACUUUUCCAACCAUAUCAGCUUCAUUUAAACCAUGAGCAAGCCCUGGUCUGAAAUGUUUCACUGCCAGGGUUCCUUGCUUUUUUCAUGUGUGGUAUGGACCUCUUUGGCAGUUGAGCAGACCCCGUUUAGAAUGACCUUUUAAAAUGCAUACAAUAAAAUACAUAAAUUGAAAAAGAAACAAGAUAUGUUGGAAGGGAAUUAUUAAAAUAUUAAGAAAAACAAACUGGGGCUGUGUUAACAUUUUUCUUCUUUGUUAAGGCAUCUGAUAAUAAUGUCUAGCAACAGGGCUAGCAAUUACCAUAAUUUUGAAGCAUUGAUCUCUUUACAAAGAGAUGCCUGUGGGGAAAUCCUCUAAGUCUAGAGAAACUUCAGGCUUUUUCCUGGAGUUUGGGGAUUUGGGGACAAGCUCAGCCACUCUGGAGUCAGAAGAAAUGGAGGCAGUGAUCCAGAACAAAACUAAAAAGAAGUUUUUAAAAGACCUCUCCCUGGGAGAAGGAAAGGGGGUCAAGGGUCAGGCUGCCAAAGAGAAAAGACAUAUGCCUUCUGAUGUCUUCCCUUUUAGGGAGGACUGGACCUCUGCUGAAGUGACGGCAGUUUCUGAACCACCACAAGCGGCAGCAUCGGCAAGCUACACUAUUGCUUUCACAGAGAUUUGUCUUAUAGGAGAAUUGAAUGUUUCUUCAUGUUCUUUUCUAUGCUUCUUUGAGGAGAAGCCCUGUUUAUUAUUUUGUAUGAAGACCAAGCAACACGGACUUAGGUAUUUUUCCAUAGCAGCACUAACCUGCAGAAACAUGACAAACUGCUCACUAAGUUCUUCAGCUAUUCCAAACUGAACAUCUGACGCAUGUAGCCUCUGAGGUGGCUUCAGCUGAGAGAGCCCUGGAGGAGAUACACUGGCUUGCACCUGCCUUGACCUGGAGUGAUUCAAGUCAUGUGCUUUCACAUUUCACUGGCUCGAGUUAGUCACAUGGCCUCAACCUGGCUGCGGGGAGGUGGAAUGGUGUAUCUGGAAAGCAUUAUCCUUCUGUGCCAAACACAAUUUUACAAAUAAGAGAACUCUAAAUAAUCAGUAACGUGUGCAAAUUCACACAGAUAUCAAAUGAAGAAGCUGAGUUUUUACUCAGGUCUUUUAACCCCAGUUCCAAUGAACAUACACAAUAGUAUCUCUCUACCUAAUCUAAUAAUAGUAUCUCUCUGUAUAAUCUGGUAAUAUCUAAUAAUGGUUUACUAAAUCAAAUAGACUCUCAUUUAAUCCUGAAGACAUUGAGACAGUUUUGUAUUUGUGCACAUUUAGGAGAAAAUAUAAGGAAACCCUGAUUGUUCCUAAGUAUCAUGUGGAAUUCUACUUCAAUGAUAACACUUACUGCUUUGUAGGCUUAUUGUGUUUUCUGUUCUCCUCGUGUAACCAGAUCUGUGAUGGGGCCUGUGGUGGAGUGGAAAGACUAUUGGCUUUGGUGCCAGACAGAUCUCUAUUCACAUUCCUGUAUCAACACUUACCAGUUGUGCAAUGUUUUGAGCAAGUUAUUUAACUUCUAUUAUUUUCAUUCUCUUCAUUUAUGUAAUAGAGACAACAAUAUCAUGUAGGCUUUUUAAAGGUAUAAACAAGUUAAUAUUUAUAAAGUCCCUGGAAAUAGUAGAUACUGUUAUUUUUUUAUAUCCCUUAAAAAGUAGCACGUUCCAGUUCAUAAAGCAAGAUAUCUUAGAAUUAAAUGAUGAAAUGCAAAAUCAGACUUAAUGCAAAGAUAUUUCAUCAAGUUAAAAUAAUAUAUAAAUACAAAUACUUACCCAAUGGAAAAAACUGCCCAAACCAGCAAUAAAAAUGCAAUGUGAAUUGAUGAAGAAAUCCA